GAGCGGGCGCGGCGGAGCGCGGCGAGCCCGGCGCCUCCCGUCCCGAACAUGCGGAGGCCGGCCCAGGCGGCGCGGGAGCCGGAGCGGGGGCCCAAGCGGCACCGGAGCCGGAGCGCGAGGGGGCGCGGGGCCCGGAGCGGGGGUCCGCGCUGCGCUGCUGAGGCCGGGCCGGCCGCCCAGACGCUGCCCGCGGGCCCGGCCACGGCGGAGCCAAGAUGUUUGCAUGGCAUCCGCGUGUGGCUGCUGCGAGCACCCGUGUCCGGUUCCCGUGUGGCUGCGUGAUUCUUCUGUCAGGUGGACUUCUAGCGGUGGAACCGCUGGUCACAGGGCCACUCCCGGUUGGACCAUUUGAGGAGCCGCAGACGGCCAUCCAUACCUGCACUGUUUGGGUCCCCUGCCGGGUUUUGGGGACUGGAUCUCUGCACAGCGACGACCACUCCCCUCUUCCGGUGACUUGGUUUCUCCUGUCCUUCGGCCCGAUGCUUCUCUGGCCUGCAGGGCAUCAGGGACCCUGCUGUCCUGAUCCCCAUGCCGUCUAGAAAGCCAGGGGUCCUGCAUGUGCCCGGUGUCCCCACUGCCUUGUCAGGCACAGGGCCAGAUCCUGCACCCUGUGACGAGCACGGCCAGUGGGACAGACAGAUGGAUGUGCUGCCCGUGACCUUCGCCACAGCGAGUUCAGAGGCCGGAGGCAUCCAGUG
rnacentral:lncRNA from 1 species